GUCGAGAAUCUUCCGCAAUGCGCGAAAGCGUGACGGAGCGACACCGCGUGAUGGAUGAAGUCCUUCGGGGCGUAAACAUCUUUUAUAAAGGAGGAAAUUUUUGACGUUACUUUAUGAAUAAGGGGCUCCCAAUCUCGUGCCAGCAGGAGCGGUAAUACGAGAGCCUCAAGCGUUAUCCGGAAUCAUUGGGCGUAAAGGGUGCGUAGGUGGUUUGAUUAGUCUCCCGUUAAAACUUCGAGCUUAACUCGAAAAGAGCGGGGGAAACGGUCAAACUAGAGUAUGUUAGAGGUGUGGGGAACUCAUGGUGUAGGGGUGAAAUCCGUUGAUAUCAUGGGGAACACCAAAAGCGAAGGCAGCACACUGGCACAUCACUGACACUGAGGCACGAAACCUAAGGUAGCGAAUGGGAUUAGAUACCCCGGUAGUCC
rnacentral:rRNA from 1 species